rnacentral:rRNA from 1 species
AACGAACGCUGGCGGCGCGCCUAAUACAUGCAAGUCGAACGAGAAGGUGUAGCAAUACACUUGUAAAGUGGCGAACGGGUGAGGAAUACAUGGGUGAUCUACCCUCGAGUGGGGAAUAACCAGCCGAAAGGUUGGCUAAUACCGCGUACGCUUCCCAGUCUACGGGUUGGGAAGGAAAGCGAUGCCGUGGGUAUCGCGCUCAAGGUUGGGCUCAUGUCCUAUCAGCUUGUGGUGAGGUAACGGCUCACCAAGGCAACGACGGGUAGCUGGUCUGAGAGGACGAUCAGCCACACUGGCACUGCGACACGGGCCAGACUCCUACGGGAGGCAGCAGUAAGGAAUAUUGCGCAAUGGGCGAAAGCCUGACGCAGCGACGCCGCGUGGGGGAUGAAGGUCUUCGGAUUGUAAACCCCUUUCGGGAGGGAAGAUGGAACGAGCAAUCGUUCGGACGGUACCUCCAGAAGCAGCCACGGCUAACUUCGUGCCAGCCGCCGCGGU